GACGUAAGCUCUGAAAAGCUGACGUAGCUCCCAACGGAGAAGGAGAAGAAUUAGCUAGCUAUAGAAGCGAGAGAACGUUAUCAGAAUCCAUUUAUUGCUCCAAAGAGGAAGCAACGCAUUUAAUGGAACAACUAAGAGAAAGGACAACGAAAUGGACGACAAUGUCUUUGGUCUUUUGUGGAUGAUAUAAAAUAAGAAAAUUCAAUAAUUACAUUUUCCUUUCUUUAA